rnacentral:rRNA from 1 species
GACGUAGGGCGCGAGCGUUGUCCGGAUUUAUUGGGCGUAAAGAGCUCGUAGGCGGUUUGUCGCGUCUGCCGUGAAAGUCCGGGGCUCAACUCCGGAUCUGCGGUGGGUACGGGCAGACUAGAGUGAUGUAGGGGAGACUGGAAUUCCUGGUGUAGCGGUGGAAUGCGGCAGAGUAUCAGGAGGAACACCGAUGGCGAAGGCAGCCCCCUGGGCCGUGACACUGACCGCUCAGGCACCGAAAGCGUGGGG